UUUUAGCCCUGAUUACAGCGGUAUCUUUUUAUUUUUUUCUUUAAAAAAUAAAAAAUAUAGCGGAAAGCAGGAUUAUGG
rnacentral:sRNA from 1 species